UACGAAGGGGGGCUAGCGUUGCUCGGAAUCACUGGGCGUAAAGGGUGCGUAGGCGGGUCUUUUAAGUCAGGGGUGAAAUCCUGGAGCUCAACUCCAGAACUGCCUUUGAUACUGAGGAUCUUGAGUUCGGGAGAGGUGAGUGGAACUGCGAGUGUAGAGGUGAAAUUCGUAGAUAUUCGCAAGAACACCGGUGGCGAAGGCGGCCUGCUGGGCAGUUGCUGACGCUGAGGCGCGACAGCGUGGGGGAGCAAACAGG
rnacentral:rRNA from 1 species